rnacentral:sRNA from 1 species
CAUAUGCAGUAGCAAUUAGAAUGCUCUCCCUGAGAGGAGGACAUUCUCUGAAAUCCCAAGUAGGAGUGAACCCAGAGUAGCAUAGCAUAUCUGCUAACUUGAUUCCAUCUGUCUUUGUUGCAACAUGCUCACUGAGCAUAUGCCCCUAAAUGAAUAUGAGAUGAAGACAGGAUCUGUGGUCCCUCCCACAACAUUGAUGGGGGAAUUAUUGGAAUGCCGCCUCUUUCCCAAACCCAUCCUCCUACCUGCACUUCUCUACUUUCCAAGGGGAAACUAGCGCUGACAUUUCUUUCUACUUCAAAACAUUAACCCCCUGGGGAGUGUUUCUUGAAAAUAUGGGAAAGGAAGAUUUCAUCAAGCUGGAGCUGAAGUCUGCCACAGAAGUGUCCUUUUCAUUUGAUGUGGGAAAUGGGCCAGUAGAGAUUGUAGUGAGGUCACCAACCCCUCUCAACGAUGACCAGUGGCACCGGGUCACUGCAGAGAGGAACGUCAAGCAGGCCAGCCUACAGGUGGACCGGCUACCCCAGCAGAUCCGCAAGGCCCCAACAGAAGGCCACACCCGCUUGGAGCUCUACAGCCAGUUAUUUGUUGGUGGUGCUGGGGGCCAGCAGGGCUUCCUGGGCUGCAUCCGCUCCUUGAGGAUGAAUGGGGUGACACUUGACCUGGAGGAAAGAGCAAAGGUCACAUCUGGGUUCAUAUCCGGAUGCUCGGGCCAUUGCACCAGCUAUGGAACAAACUGUGAAAACGGAGGCAAAUGCCUAGAGAGAUACCACGGUUACUCCUGUGAUUGCUCUAAUACUGCAUAUGAUGGAACCUUUUGCAACAAAGACGUUGGCGCAUUUUUUGAAGAAGGGAUGUGGCUACGAUAUAACUUCCAGGCACCAGCAACCAAUGCCCGAGACUCCAGCAGCAGAGUAGAGAACGCUCCCGACCAGCAGAACUCCCACCCGGACCUGGCCCAGGAGGAGAUCCGCUUCAGCUUCAGCACCACCAAAGCGCCCUGCAUUCUCCUCUACAUCAGCUCCUUCACCACAGACUUCUUGGCAGUCCUCGUCAAACCCACCGGAAGCUUACAGAUUCGAUACAACCUGGGUGGCACCCGAGAGCCAUACAAUAUUGACACAGACCACAGGAACAUGGCCAAUGGACAGCCCCACAGUGUCAACAUCACCCGCCACGAGAAGACCAUCAUUCUCAAGCUCGAUCAUUAUCCUUCUGUGAGUUACCAUCUGCCGAGUUCAUCCGACACCCUCUUCAAUUCUCCCAAGUCGCUCUUUCUGGGAAAAGUUAUAGAAACAGGGAAAAUUGACCAAGAGAUUCACAAAUACAACACCCCAGGAUUCACUGGUUGCCUCUCCAGAGUCCAGUUCAACCAGAUCGCCCCUCUCAAGGCCGCCUUGAGGCAGACAAACGCCUCGGCUCACGUCCAUAUCCAGGGCGAGCUGGUGGAGUCCAACUGCGGGGCCUCGCCGCUGACCCUCUCCCCCAUGUCGUCCGCCACCGACCCCUGGCACCUGGAUCACCUGGAUUCAGCCAGUGCAGAUUUUCCAUAUAAUCCAGGACAAGGCCAAGCUAUAAGAAAUGGAGUCAACAGAAACUCGGCUAUCAUUGGAGGCGUCAUUGCUGUGGUGAUUUUCACCAUCCUCUGCACCCUGGUCUUCCUGAUCCGGUACAUGUUCCGCCACAAGGGCACCUACCAUACCAACGAAGCGAAGGGGGCGGAGUCGGCAGAGAGCGCGGACGCCGCCAUCAUGAACAACGACCCCAACUUCACAGAGACCAUUGAUGAAAGCAAAAAGGAAUGGCUCAUUUGAGGGGUGGCUACUUGGCUAUGGGAUAGGGAGGAGAGAAAGGGACAAAAGCACCCUGCUUCAUACUCUUGAGCACAUCCUUAAAAUAUCAGCACAAGUUGGGGGAGGCAGGCAAUGGAAUAUUCUUGAGACUGAUCACAAAAAAAAAAACUUUUUAAUAUUUCUUUAUAGCUGAGUUUUCCCUUCUGUAUCAAAACAAAAUAAUACAAAAAAUGCUUUUAGAGUUUAAGCAAUGGUUGAAAUUUGUAGGUAAUAUCUUGUCUUAUUUUGUGUGUGUUUAGAGGUGUUCUAAAGACCCGUGGUAACAGGGCAAGUUUUCUACAUUUUUAAGAGCCCUUAGAAUGUGGGUAUUUUUUUCUUGAGAAAAGCUAACGCACCUAAAUAUGGCCCCCACCAUUCUCUUCCUUUUGCUUCUAGUCAGUCAGCCUUAAUGGGCUGUUACAGUAACUAGUUCGUGUUCAUAUACUAUUUCCUUUGAUGUCCUAUAAGUUGGAAAAGAAAGGGGCAAAGAGAACCUAUUAUUUGCCAGUUUUCAAGCAGAGCUCAAUCUAUGCCAGCUCUCUGGCAUCUGGGGUUCCUGACUGAUUACCAGCAGUUGAAGGAAGAGAGUGCAUGGCACCUGGUGUGUAACGACACAAUCAGCACAACUGGAGAGAGGCAUUAAAGAACCAGGGAAGGUAGUUUAUAUUGGGGUUGUCGGUUUGAUUUUUCAUUGAAUUCUACAAGCUAAUAUUGUUCCACGUAUGUAGUCUUAGACCAAUUCAAUAUCUAUAACUAUCAGCUGCAAUACCAUGGUGACCAGCUGUUACAAAAGAUUUUUUCCUGUUUCAUCUGAAACAUAUUGGAUUUAUAUAUGUAUAAGCGCCUCAAUGGGGAAUUAGAGCCAGAUGUUAUGAUUUGUUUGCUCUUUUUCUUUUAUAGUUGUAGCAAAAAUAUGCAUAAUUUCUAGUGAAUGCAUAAAUUAGGUUGCGCUUCUUAUUUUGCUUUAAAUCUCUGGUAGUUUUUCCACCCCUGUGACAGAAUCCUAAUAGACAGUGUCCUGUAAAUGGACACAACA